CCUGUGUCAUUUUUUCUCGGUUGGCUUUCGGGUUUAAGGGAGCUUCUGUAAGGAGGACGGGGUGUUCUUCUGGUGCCACUCGGAGUUCGUUGUAAAACGUAUGGUGCCAAAUCUAAAACGAAUAGAAUGGGCGUUACCCACAAGCCGAAGCGAAAACGACAACUUAAAACAAAGCACAAAAACUUACCUUCUCCAUAUCGUCCCAGUUUGUGACGAUGCCGUGUUCGAUGGGGUAUUUCAAGGUAAGGAUACCUCUUUUGCUUUGGGCCUCGUCGCCAACAUACGAAUCUUUCUGGCCCAUACCAACCAUCACACCUUGAUGGCGAGGACGACCGACGAUGGAGGGGAAAACAGCUCUUGGUGCAUCGUCGCCGGCGAAACCAGCUUUGCACAUACCCGAUCCAUUAUCAACAACUAAAGCCGCAACGUCGUCUUCCAUUUUUACAACAAACUUCGAGUGCUAAGCGUGUUUUAACGUAUUGUCCACCUCCAACAAGCUGCUCCAACAAGCAAUGAAAGCGAAAUGAUUCUUCCAAAAUUUAAAUGCCUCUAAAUGCUGACGCGCUUACGUCACAUCCGGUAGAAUGCCCUUGAUCGCUUCUACCGUUUCCGGUGAAUGAAAAGCCGGGGCACGCCAAAAAAAGCAAGAAAACAAAACAGACGCACAAGAUAGCUUAAUUUUCAACCCUUCCUGCGGAUUAUAAGCUAGGAAAAUUAAUAAAAAUCGCAUGCAGAGAAAGGGAAUUUGGUGAAUUGGUUAUCUCCAAUAUUGCACCGCUUUUUGGUUAGGAAAACCCCAAAUACUAUGUUUAAUUUUGGGCCUACAAACUUAGCAUAAACAUUGCACUACCGCGAUCGAAUUGAAUCCUUAUUAGGCAAUGCCUGUGCAGACAACAAAGCCAUGUGCCUAUACACUUCGCAAAGUUUACCAUAUAUGGUAACGGCAUCGCUGAUUGGUCAGCUUUAAACAACCUGCUCAACCGUCUUUGAAAUUUGAUUUCAUUUCCGUUCGAAUUCUUCCGUUUGCAUUUCUAUAUUUCACUAUUUCGUAAAAAGUUUAUAUAUUAUGCCCUAAAAUCAGCCAAAAUGCAAGGCAAUAAUAAGUGUAAAGUUUUCUACGUAUUGUCCUUAGACUCUCAUAAAAGUUAG